GAAUGGAAAGAAAUGAACGGUUUGCAUCUGUAUCAACGGCCAAUUUCCGUUAGAAGAGAAGGUUCCAUCGGAACAAUUUUUUAUUUCUAUUUUCAGGGUACUUCAUCUCUUUUUUUUUUUCUAAAUAAAGAAAAAAAAAAGAGAAGAAAAGAAGUGUGGGGAAAAAUGACAAGAAGAUAUUGGAACAUCAAUUUGGAAGAGAUGAUGGAAGCAGGAGUUCAUUUUGGUCAUGGUACUAGGAAAUGGAAUCCUAGGAUGGCACCUUAUAUCUCUGCAAAGACGAAAAGGUAAUUCAUAUUAUAAAUCUUACUAGAACUGCUCGGUUUUUAUUCAGAAGCUUGUGAUUUUAGUUUUUUGUAUGCAGCAAGUAGGGGAAAACAAUUCUUAAUUGUCGGUACAAAAAAUAAAGCGGCUGAUUCAGUAGCGCGGGCUGCAAUAAGGGGCCCCGGUGUCAUUAUGUUAAAUAAAAAAUGGCUCGGCGGUAUGUUAACGAAUUGGUAUACUACAGAAACGAGACUUCAUAAGUUCAGGGACUUGAGAACGGAACAAAAGACGGGGAGACUUAACCGUCUUCCGAAAAGGGAUGCGGCUGUGUUGAAGAGACAAUUAUUUCACUUGCAAACAUAUCUGGGCGGAAUAAAAAUAUAUGACGGGGUUACCCGAUAUUGUAAUAAUCGUUGAUCAGCAAGAAGAAUAUACGGCUCUUCGAGAAUGUAUCACUUUGGGAAUUCCAACGAUUUGUUUAAUCGAUACAAAUUGUGACCCGGAUCUCGCGGUAUAUUUCGAUUCCAGCCAACGAUGACGCUAUAGCUUCAAUCCGAUUAAUUCUUAACAAAUUAGUAUUUGCAAUUUGUGAGGGUCGUUCUAGCUAUAUACGAAAUUCUUGAUUAAUAAUAAGAUAAGUAAAUUUUUUGGGGGGAACUCCAUAUAAUCGAUUUAUUGAAUCGGUUAUUAUUCUUGACUAGCAUAAAAGAGAUAAAAACCGGAGAUUUUCUGUGAUUAGUUGAUACUUAAAAUAUAUAAUUCAAGUAGGCAAAUCGAAAAAAAGAUGGUUGAAUCAAAAUAAUUCCUUUUUAAGUUCUAUUUCUUUCAGAGGGUAAU